AGUUCUGUUUUGUCAAUUCAAAAAUCUUAACCUUACUUUUACAAGUGAUUAGGAUUAUUAUUUUAUUUACAUAUAAAUUGAAACAAUAAAUAUUGUGCUGUGUCAUAAUUUAAAACUCAUUAUGUUGCAGUCUUUUCCAGUUGAUAAAAUUGCAAUUCAAAAACUUUUAGAUUUGCACUAGAUUGGCACAGAAAGAGAACAGUACAAGAACAUGAAACAUCUUAUUAUGAAUGUAUAUGUAAGUGAUCCUCAAAAAAUUAUUUUACAAAACAAGAUAGAGAAAGAGCUUUAAAAUCCCAAGGAUCCUGCAAAAUGUUUAUUUGGUGUACUAGUCGAAUAAUAGUAUCUAAAAAUAUUGAAACUAUUUUAAAACAUAUUACGGACACGAGGAUGAUAUAGAGCACUUACAUAAAUACCAAAAUCAGAUAAAUAUCUCUUCAAAGUUUAUUUUGAGACUUUCUUCAAAAAUUAAACUUCAGACUGUUCAGGAUAGCAUAAUAGCAUAGGAGGCGAAUUAAAAAGAAUUAAUUUACUUACAAGUAAAGAUAUCACAAACAUUAAACUAUCUUAUGCUUACAGACUCAUGUCCAAUAUUAUUUUACAAACAACAGGGCAUACUAAUGGAUAUUCAUUCUGAAUUUAAUAUUUAUGAUUUUUGUCUUAUUUUCCUUAAUACUGUGCAAAAAUGAAAUGUUAAUUAAGUGUGGUAAAUCCUUUAUCGCAAUCGAUGGAACUCAUAGGCUCAAUUCCUAUGACUUUGAACUUAUGACAGUAUUAGUAAAAGAUGAAUUUGGGAAUGGAUUUUGUACUGCUUUCUUAUUUUCAAAUAGAAAAAAUACCUACUUUAAUUUACCGAUUUUUUAAAUACAUGUCUGUGUUGGUAUUAUAUGUAUAGUCAAAUGUUUUCAUAUCAGGCAUAAGCGACACCUUUUACAAUGCCUCGUCAAAUGUAAUGGGUAUUGCUCCUAAUAGACUGUUAAGUGCCUGGCACAUAGAUAGGGCAUGGUAAGUAAAUCUUAAUAAAAUAUCUGAUUCUGAAAAAAAUCCUAUUAUGUAUACAAGAUGUAUUAAUGAUGGUUUAGAGAGUAUUAAUAGCUUUUUGGGUAGACUUCUAAGUGAUGCAGAUACAUACAAUUUUAGUAAGUAUUUCCAGUAGAACUAGUGCAAUAACAUCCAACAAUGGGCCUAUUGUUAUAGGAAGGGGUUGUGGAAUUAAUACCAAUAUGACCAUUCAAAAUUUUCAUAAAAUUUUGGAUAAAAGGGUAUCCAUUAGUUGUUAUCAGUUAAGUUUGAAACUUCGCACUUAUGGAGAGCUAUACCAUAAUAUAUAAUAUGUAUAUCUCAUAAUAUUACAUCUCAUAUUGUUCACUACAGUAGUAAUGAGUGAGCCUGCAUACACAGAACCAUAAUAAUAUAUUAUAGUUCGUGUAUGCAGGCUCACUCAUUACAAUAGUGAGCAAUAUGAGAUAUAACAUAUUAUAGUAUAAGUCUCUGUGCAUGACCAGAUUAACAUGUUUGGUGCCCAUCUCGAACAAGCUCCACUUGGCUGGUACCACAUACUUAAAUCAUUUAUUUAGUUACACAGUACUACUCACAUAACUUAUGUGUCGUCAGUACCUUCCGUAAAACCUUCGUGAUGCUACCCAUAUGUCAUGGCCACUGAAUGUGUUAAAGCGUGUUAAUGUAGGAGAGUUAUACUAAAAUAUAUAUCUUAUAUUAUAUUGCCUUAAAUAGAAAAAAUAUCUUAUUUAAAUUGUAUCCAUGUAAGUUUUGAUUUAAUGAAAUAAACCUUUUAAUCAAAAAAGUGUUGUUUACUUGUGUACACCCAGCAAUAUCCUGAUCAUAGAUAAAUAAUAUAGUAUUACCGGAUCCUGAUAUGCAGACGCCAAUAGGGCUUUUCAUCGAUUGUCAUUUGUUUCGAGCUUCUGUCAUGAGUCACAUAAUAUUAAUGUAUCUACGUCAUACGUCUUUGGUUUGUAUCAUUGGUAUAUAGCAUAUACCAAUAACGUAUGACGUAAAUAUAUUAAUAUUAUGAGACACAUGACAGAAGCUCGAAACAAAUGACUGUGAAUGAAAUGCCCUAUUGAAUAGGGCUUUUCAUCGAUUGUCAUUUGUUUCGAGCUUCGUUCAAGUGUCACAUAAUAUUAAUAUAUCUACGUCAUACGUCUUUGGUUUGUAUCAUUGGCAAUAUCAAUAACAUAUGACAUAGAUAUAUUAAUAUUAGACGACACAUGACAGAAGCUCGAAAUAAAUGACUAAGUGAAAAGCCCUAUAUCAUGUAAAUACAAGUCAUAAAGAUGUCCUUCUACGGUUAAAAUUUCACAGCCUAAAGACAUCAUUUAUGUAACUUCUUAAGCCGUCACAAAAUGACUGCAAUAAGAAAAUAGAAUUUAUUAACUCGCCUCGCCCCCAGGCAAAGUAAAGGUGCUAGGCCACUAAGAAUGUUUUUUUCAAUUUUUUUAUUUUGUGGCUUUAGCGCUUAGCUAUUUAGCCAGAUACAUGAUGAGAAUUAAUACUAUUAUAAUGCAUAUUAAAACUAAUUCAAAUUACUAGUAAUUUUAUUAAUAUUCUGAAUAAUUAUGUAACCACUUAAUACUACAAUAAAAAAGUGUCCAUCUAUAUUAUCCCAACACAUUUUAACCUUUGAAAUCGUAAAUUUCCAUUCCCAUUAAAAAAAUAAUUUGUACUGUAUAAGUAUAUUUCUUUUGAGCUUCAUUUUUUUUUUUCAAAAUACUGCAACAUGAGUUUUAAAUUAUGACACAGUACAAUACUUGUUUCAAUAUUUACAUGUAAAUAAAAUAAUCCUAAUUACUUGUAAAAGUAAGGUUAUAAAUUUAAGAAUACAGAACCACCGAACAACCCGAAGGCACAGUCGACUCGGCGGGAAAAGUUCGCGCAUCUGGUUUGCGCACGGCUGGCGGCCAUUUUUUCGGUCCACAGGUCCGCUGCUGACACGAUCAAUUUGUGAUUGUUGUUGUCAGAUCACGCUUGUUUCGGGGUUACUUUGAUUUUGUGUUGUUCUGUUCGGUGAUUUUGUUUUUGUGCAUUGUGCAAUAAUAAUUAUGGAUAUGGACAAAAAGAAAGGCAGUUCGAAUUUAAUCUGUGCAGCGAUCAACUGUAAAAACACGGUAUCAAAUUUCAGCUAUAGUUUUUUUCCGUUUUCCAAAAGACGAAUCAAGGUAAGCAUUUUUAAAUUCACAAUGUUUUUAUAAAUGUGUAUGUACUUAAAUGGGUAGGUACUUGAAAAUUUGGUGUUAACUAUGAAACUUUACCUAAUCAAUUAUUUUCAAUGGGAAAUAAGCCACAAUUUUACCAAAAAAAUGAUUUUAUUAACGUUUCGACGCCCAAGUCAGGUGUUAUUGUCAAAAUACAAAAUAAUUCUUGUAUUCAAUCAUUGAAAAUAGUUGAUUAUAAAAAUGCCACAAGGAAAUAGCUUCAGAACAAAACUUUACCUAUAUUAUGUAUACAGGGUGUCCAGAAACUCUACCGACAAACGAAGACAGGAGACUCCUCAUAUAAUUUUAAGACAUUUAAACCCAA
rnacentral:lncRNA from 1 species